UGGCGGCGUGCUUAACACAUGCAAGUCGAACGGAAAGGCCCUGCUUUUGUGGGGUGCUCGAGUGGCGAACGGGUGAGUAACACGUGAGUAACCUGCCCUUGACUUUGGGAUAACUUCAGGAAACUGGGGCUAAUACCGGAUAGGAGCUCCUGCUGCAUGGUGGGGGUUGGAAAGUUUCGGCGGUUGGGGAUGGACUCGCGGCUUAUCAGCUUGUUGGUGGGGUAGUGGCUUACCAAGGCUUUGACGGGUAGCCGGCCUGAGAGGGUGACCGGCCACAUUGGGACUGAGAUACGGCCCAGACUCCUACGGGAGGCAGCAGUGGGGAAUAUUGCACAAUGGGCGGAAGCCUGAUGCAGCAACGCCGCGUGCGGGAUGACGGCCUUCGGGUUGUAAACCGCUUUCGCCUGUGACGAAGCGUGAGUGACGGUAAUGGGUAAAGAAGCACCGGCUAACUACGUGCCAGCAGCCGCGGUGAUACGUAGGGUGCGAGCGUUGUCCGGAUUUAUUGGGCGUAAAGGGCUCGUAGGUGGUUGAUCGCGUCGGAAGUGUAAUCUUGGGGCUUAACCCUGAGCGUGCUUUCGAUACGGGUUGACUUGAGGAAGGUAGGGGAGAAUGGAAUUCCUGGUGGAGCGGUGGAAUGCGCAGAUAUCAGGAGGAACACCAGUGGCGAAGGCGGUUCUCUGGGCCUUUCCUGACGCUGAGGAGCGAAAGCGUGGGGAGCGAACAGGCUUAGAUACCCUGGUAGUCCACGCUGUAAACGGUGGGUACUAGGUGUGGGGUCCAUUCCACGGGUUCCGUGCCGUAGCUAACGCUUUAAGUACCCCGCCUGGGGAGUACGGCCGCAAGGCUAAAACUCAAAGGAAUUGACGGGGCCCCGCACAAGCGGCGGAGCAUGCGGAUUAAUUCGAUGCAACGCGUAGAACCUUACCUGGGUUUGACAUGGAUCGGGAGUGCUCAGAGAUGGGUGUGCCUCUUUUUGGGGUCGGUUCACAGGUGGUGCAUGGCUGUCGUCAGCUCGUGUCGUGAGAUGUUGGGUUAAGUCCCGCAACGAGCGCAACCCUUGUUCACUGUUGCCAGCACGUUAUGGUGGGGACUCAGUGGAGACCGCCGGGGUCAACUCGGAGGAAGGUGGGGAUGACGUCAAGUCAUCAUGCCCCUUAUGUCCAGGGCUUCACGCAUGCUACAAUGGCUGGUACAGAGAGUGGCGAGCCUGUGAGGGUGAGCGAAUCUCGGAAAGCCGGUCUCAGUUCGGAUUGGGGUCUGCAACUCGACCUCAUGAAGUCGGAGUCGCUAGUAAUCGCAGAUCAGCAGCGCUGCGGUGAAUACGUUCCCGGGGCUUGUACACACCGCCCGUCAAGUCAUGAAAGUUGGUAACACCCGAAGCCGGUGGCCUAACCGUUGUGGGGGAGCCGUCGAAGGUGGGACUGGUGAUUAGGACUAAGUCAUAAC
rnacentral:rRNA from 1 species